rnacentral:rRNA from 1 species
GGGUUGUGAGGUUAAGCGACUAAGCGUACACGGUGGAUGCCCUGGCAGUCAGAGGCGAUGAAGGACGUGCUAAUCUGCGAUAAGCGUCGGUAAGGUGAUAUGAACCGUUAUAACCGGCGAUUUCCGAAUGGGGAAACCCAGUGUGAUUCGUCACACUAUCAUUAACUGAAUCCAUAGGUUAAUGAGGCGAACCGGGGGAACUGAAACAUCUAAGUACCCCGAGGAAAAGAAAUCAACCGAGAUUCCCCCAGUAGCGGCGAGCGAACGGGGAGCAGCCCAGAGCCUGAAUCAGUGUGUGUGUUAGUGGAAGCGUCUGGAAAGGCGCGCGAUACAGGGUGACAGCCCCGUACACAAAAAUGCACAUGCUGUGAGCUCGAUGAGUAGGGCGGGACACGUGGUAUCCUGUCUGAAUAUGGGGGGACCAUCCUCCAAGGCUAAAUACUCCUGACUGACCGAUAGUGAACCAGUACCGUGAGGGAAAGGCGAAAAGAACCCCGGCGAGGGGAGUGAAAAAGAACCUGAAACCGUGUACGUACAAGCAGUGGGAGCACGCUUAGGCGUGUGACUGCGUACCUUUUGUAUAAUGGGUCAGCGACUUAUAUUCUGUAGCAAGGUUAACCGAAUAGGGGAGCCGAAGGGAAACCGAGUCUUAACUGGGCGUUAAGUUGCAGGGUAUAGACCCGAAACCCGGUGAUCUAGCCAUGGGCAGGUUGAAGGUUGGGUAACACUAACUGGAGGACCGAACCGACUAAUGUUGAAAAAUUAGCGGAUGACUUGUGGCUGGGGGUGAAAGGCCAAUCAAACCGGGAGAUAGCUGGUUCUCCCCGAAAGCUAUUUAGGUAGCGCCUCGUGAAUUCAUCUCCGGGGGUAGAGCACUGUUUCGGCAAGGGGGUCAUCCCGACUUACCAACCCGAUGCAAACUGCGAAUACCGGAGAAUGUUAUCACGGGAGACACACGGCGGGUGCUAACGUCCGUCGUGAAGAGGGAAACAACCCAGACCGCCAGCUAAGGUCCCAAAGUCAUGGUUAAGUGGGAAACGAUGUGGGAAGGCCCAGACAGCCAGGAUGUUGGCUUAGAAGCAGCCAUCAUUUAAAGAAAGCGUAAUAGCUCACUGGUCGAGUCGGCCUGCGCGGAAGAUGUAACGGGGCUAAACCAUGCACCGAAGCUGCGGCAGCGACGCUUAUGCGUUGUUGGGUAGGGGAGCGUUCUGUAAGCCUGCGAAGGUGUGCUGUGAGGCAUGCUGGAGGUAUCAGAAGUGCGAAUGCUGACAUAAGUAACGAUAAAGCGGGUGAAAAGCCCGCUCGCCGGAAGACCAAGGGUUCCUGUCCAACGUUAAUCGGGGCAGGGUGAGUCGACCCCUAAGGCGAGGCCGAAAGGCGUAGUCGAUGGGAAACAGGUUAAUAUUCCUGUACUUGGUGUUACUGCGAAGGGGGGACGGAGAAGGCUAUGUUGGCCGGGCGACGGUUGUCCCGGUUUAAGCGUGUAGGCUGGUUUUCCAGGCAAAUCCGGAAAAUCAAGGCUGAGGCGUGAUGACGAGGCACUACGGUGCUGAAGCAACAAAUGCCCUGCUUCCAGGAAAAGCCUCUAAGCAUCAGGUAACAUCAAAUCGUACCCCAAACCGACACAGGUGGUCAGGUAGAGAAUACCAAGGCGCUUGAGAGAACUCGGGUGAAGGAACUAGGCAAAAUGGUGCCGUAACUUCGGGAGAAGGCACGCUGAUAUGUAGGUGAAGUCCCUCGCGGAUGGAGCUGAAAUCAGUCGAAGAUACCAGCUGGCUGCAACUGUUUAUUAAAAACACAGCACUGUGCAAACACGAAAGUGGACGUAUACGGUGUGACGCCUGCCCGGUGCCGGAAGGUUAAUUGAUGGGGUCAGCGCAAGCGAAGCUCUUGAUCGAAGCCCCGGUAAACGGCGGCCGUAACUAUAACGGUCCUAAGGUAGCGAAAUUCCUUGUCGGGUAAGUUCCGACCUGCACGAAUGGCGUAAUGAUGGCCAGGCUGUCUCCACCCGAGACUCAGUGAAAUUGAACUCGCUGUGAAGAUGCAGUGUACCCGCGGCAAGACGGAAAGACCCCGUGAACCUUUACUAUAGCUUGACACUGAACAUUGAGCCUUGAUGUGUAGGAUAGGUGGGAGGCUUGGAAGUGUGGACGCCAGUCUGCAUGGAGCCGACCUUGAAAUACCACCCUUUAAUGUUUGAUGUUCUAACGUUGACCCGUAAUCCGGGUUGCGGACAGUGUCUGGUGGGUAGUUUGACUGGGGCGGUCUCCUCCUAAAGAGUAACGGAGGAGCACGAAGGUUGGCUAAUCCUGGUCGGACAUCAGGAGGUUAGUGCAAUGGCAUAAGCCAGCUUGACUGCGAGCGUGACGGCGCGAGCAGGUGCGAAAGCAGGUCAUAGUGAUCCGGUGGUUCUGAAUGGAAGGGCCAUCGCUCAACGGAUAAAAGGUACUCCGGGGAUAACAGGCUGAUACCGCCCAAGAGUUCAUAUCGACGGCGGUGUUUGGCACCUCGAUGUCGGCUCAUCACAUCCUGGGGCUGAAGUAGGUCCCAAGGGUAUGGCUGUUCGCCAUUUAAAGUGGUACGCGAGCUGGGUUUAGAACGUCGUGAGACAGUUCGGUCCCUAUCUGCCGUGGGCGCUGGAGAACUGAGGGGGGCUGCUCCUAGUACGAGAGGACCGGAGUGGACGCAUCACUGGUGUUCGGGUUGUCAUGCCAAUGGCACUGCCCGGUAGCUAAAUGCGGAAGAGAUAAGUGCUGAAAGCAUCUAAGCACGAAACUUGCCCCGAGAUGAGUUCUCCCUGACUCCUUGAGAGUCCUGAAGGAACGUUGAAGACGACGACGUUGAUAGGCCGGGUGUGUAAGCGCAGCGAUGCGUUGAGCUAACCGGUACUAAUGAACCGUGAGGCUUAACCUUACAACGCCGAAGCUGUU